rnacentral:lncRNA from 1 species
AAGUGCAAAACCAUCACAUCUUUAUCAAAAAUACCAAAUUAGUCUUAACUCCAACUCUCAAAAUAACUUAGAACAACAAAAACAUAAUAAAUUGGGAGAGGUAGAAAACCAAGUGCAAUAAAACACUUAGCACUUGAUCUCCUUCAAAGCAAAAGAAAAAUAGAGAAAAGUUGGGUCAGCAGCACCAUCCUUGUAGUAGGCAAAGACCAAGCUACCAUCAUCAUGCAUGCUCUCACCAACAAAGCUGCACAAAAAUGUAACAUUAUACACUAAAACAAAACAUCUAUUACUUAACAAUUUAAUGUUUGACCAUAAGAAAUAGUAGCAUAUUAAUUAAAAUUACUCAAAUUAAGUGUAUCCACUCUAAAGAGAAAGCCAGAUGAAAAGGAAAGAGUUUUUAAAAUAAAAUAAAAAUUGUCUAUUUGAUGAUGAUAAAUGCAAGAAAACCAUAUUCCAGCCUCAAAAUUAACAAAUAUUAUGCAACAAACAAGGAAACUAUAUAAAAAACAUUGAAUACUUCUUGAAUGUACAUAAUAGCGAGUCACUUACAACUGAAGGUCCUUGAGCUUGCCAAGGAGGUAUUUGGUUGCUCCCUCAAUAUUCUUUUUGAAGUGCUCUUGUUUCUCUGCUUCUAGUUUGGGAGUCAACAACUUAAUAUACUUCUUAACAAAGCCAAGAAACUGCUUCUUGUCAAAAGGAGGUUGUUCCUACAAAAGUUCACACACAAAAUAAUUAUGCUCUGAAAUCAAGCUAUAAGAUAAGAGCUCAAAAAUUAGCUUUAAAAAAUGUAUUCUCCAAGAUAAAGAGAUAUUCAUGGUUGCCCUAACCUGAAGUCUGAAUACAUCAACAAUGUCAACCACCUUAACAGCAGUGUCAUCAACACCCUCAUCUUCUCCACCUUCGGCAGAAGGGUUUGCACCGAUGUUCACAUCAACUGCUCCCUUGACAACCCACUGCACACCAAGAGGAAAUAAUUUUUAACUUUCAUCCUCAAGCGUAACAAAACAAUUUCACAAAAAACAUGUUUUGAUAAUUGCAUAUUUAAACCUAAAUAAUUGACCAAUAUUCAACUACAAUUCCCUUUGAAAGUAUAAGAAAAUUCACAAAAACAUGUUUUAAUAAUUGCACAUGAAAUGAUUGGGACAAUAUUAACUGACCUUCCCCUCAACUUCCCACAACAUUCCAUUCUCAAUUUCCUUGUAUGGAUAAGAGUCUGACAAAAGCUCAUCACCUACAAAACAUGACAAAAGCGUUGAACUAUUACAUAUUUCAAACAAAAGCAUGCUACUAAAAACCCUUCUAUUAGAGCUGAAGCAAUUCAGGACCAUUGAUUUAAAACAAAAUAUAUAGAAAAAUAUAAAACAAAAUAGAAGAAACAAUAACCAAUAGAACGGGGCACAGACGACACAUAACCCUAAGCAAAAAGAUGCUACACGCAGAAAAAUUCUCACUUCUUGAGUACAAAAGCAUAGCAGAUUGAGAUUAAUUUAUCUUUAUAACAAUGAAAAAAUCUGGCUUUAUUUGUUUUUACAGAAACUCUAGCUUUUAAUAACAAACACGAAUAAUCAGAAUAUGCAUCUCAGUGCAACACAAUUGAAUCAAUUGAAAUUCAAACAAAUCACAAAAUCAAAGCAAAAAACUACAGAUCCAAAGAUUCCCAUCAAAAUUUCAAUACAACUGUCAUAAUCGCAUGCGUAAUUCAUAUAGAUCUAUAAGAGAAUAAUAGAAAGAAAAAAACGGAAAUUUAAGAAAAUAAUCAUGGAUCUGAGAGUAGUUACCUGUAAGGAGAUCCUGGUAAACCAACAUGAUUGAAAAUUCUUUCUCUGAUCGCUCCUGGUUACAGAUUUAUUGGUGUGAGAAUGAGAUUCGGAGCGAUCUGAGAGUGAAGAGGGAUUGAAAUUCGGGUGCGCUCAUGAUAUUAAUAGACUAGGGUUUCUUCCUUGGGAAAUUACUUUCACGCCUAUGGUAUUUUCUAAAAUACCCAAUUUGUCCUACCUUUGUAUUUUUAUUUAUUAUUUAAACAGAAUUUUAUUCCCUUUUUAAAUUAUCAUUACUAUUAUUCUUAUAUCAUAUAAAUAAAUAUAUCAUAUUAUACUUUUACCGUUUAUCUUUAUCUAUCUAUCUAGGAAUGGGACCCUAAACCCACUUUUGAAAAUAAUAAUUUUGGAAGCAUUUAAUUUGUCACCCUAACAAUUAAAUCUAUUAUCUUCACAUAUUUUUAUACUUUUAAAUUAUUUAGGAUAAAUUUGAGUUAAAAAUAUUAACAGAAUUUUCUGUUGUUCAUUCAAAAUUUCUGGUAAAAGAUUAAAUUUUUGAUAGUUUAUUUUAAAUUUUCAGUACAAAUUUUUUAUUUGUUUUUAUGAAAAAUGGUGUAAUUUAUUAGAAAUUUUGGAAAGUGUUAUAAUUUAUCAGAAAUUUUGAAAAGUGUGGUAGUUUAUCGAAAAUUCCAAACUCUUUUGCUAUAGUUGGAGAAUUAUAUGAUUAUAAGAGGACGAAUCUUUGUUUCUUAAAUUGAAGAAAGGAAUAUGAAUAUUGUUGACCCAAACAUCAGUGAAGAGUCGCAUCCAAUAUGUAGUGAAAUGUCUGUAUGCAUUGAACUUGCUCGUAAAUUUAAAAAGUUGAGAAAACUUGAAGAUACUUAAAGUAAUAUGAAUUAGAAAAAUAAUAAUACUUUUUGAUUCAAUGGGAAAAAACGUUUUAAAACCAUCAUUGCCACUAAUUUCACUAGAUAUAAGCAUGACCAAGGUGAUAACUUGAGUACACCUUCGAUUCAUAACUUCCAUAACUAUCCUCUUUUGUUAUGGAUGAACAAUGCAUAUAACUAAUUGUUUCCUUUGAUUCAAUAUAUGAUUUUACCAAAUUGAGUUAUAAGGAUGAUAUUUAUUGAGGUUUAUACACUAAUUCAAUUUCUAAUAAAAACGCAUUAGUUUCUGAUAAAUGUUUGAAAACAUACUGGAUUUUUCAAAACCUUUGGUAAUUUUUUGGAUUUUUGAGAAAUGUCAGUAGUUCAUAUUAGACAGGCAAGAAAAUUCACACUACUAGAUUUUUCGAAAAAUUUGGAAAACUACAAAAUAUUUUGAAAAAUCUGAUUGUGUGGUUGUUCUGCACAGCUUGAGUCACUGCUUCCAAGGCGACAGCAAUAGCAUCAUCAUUCCUUCCAACCAUAUUCUAAACAUAUCAAUAACAUGGUUAGAAGAAACUUAUAUCAAUACUGUUCACACACUAUUCACAUACUAAAAACUUAUAAGACACUAUUCACAUGGUCUGACGGACCAACUAGACUCUGAUACCACUUUGUAACACCCUACUUCGUGAUUCAAAUAAAUAAAUAAAAUAUAAAUAAUUAAAUCAAGUAGGAUGUCACAUCCACAUAAUUUGAAGUUUAAAAGUUUACUUCAACUCAUAUAAAUCACAUUGUUACAGCGGAAUUUAAAAUAUUUUUUGUUCAGCAUCCAAAGCCUCACUCAAACAUCCAAACAAUAGUCGUUUAAAACAGCAAUCCUUAUUAUUUAAAUAUAUGUAACAUGAAAAACACAUAGGUAAAACAGCCCCAUGGACAAAAUAGCCUUAGUGUUACGUAUCAGAGCGGCUCAACUAGAAGACCUGAUCGAUAGCAACAUAUCGUGCACCGUCAACUACUCAGGUAUCUGAUUUUCUAUACUCCAAAGGAGUACAGACACAACAACAAAAAAGGGUGAGAACUACAUUAAUACAAUUAAUCGAUGCAUAGCAUGAUAAGGAUAAUAUUCACGCGUGACGCACCACAAUCAUUCAUAAUCCACAUUCUCACCAUAAUUAAACACCACACGAUAUAAUGAAAAUGCAAUGAGACUCCAUAACUCGACCCAAUGCAUGUGGUACCCACAACUUCCAAUCUCUAGCGUGUGUUACUCCACUUUUCAUCAACUCCCUCAGUUAGCAUAUGUGUAUCGAACUGCACUUUAUGUGCCUCAGUACACGUCAUUACCCUGGAAAAACUUCUCAAUGUAUAUAAGUCAUGCAUGUGCUCCCUCUGGAUCAUACCUUCCUUUGAAGGUAUGCGGGUUGUUCCUCUGAAACUUUUCCAAGUUGUGGAACUCAUCAUUUCCUCCCAAUUGGUUGUUCUGCACAACUUUAGUCACUGCUUCCAAGGCGGAAGCAAUAGCACCACCAUUCCUUCCAGACACAUUUUAAACAUAUCAAAAAUAUGGUUAGAAUAAACUUAUAUCAAUAGUGUUCACACACUAUUCACAUACUAAAAACUUAUAAGACACUAUACACCUGACCGGACAGACCAACCAGACUCUGAUACCACUUUGUAACACCCUACUUCCGGAUUCAAAUAAAUAAAUAAAAUAUAAAUAAAUAAAUCGAGUAGGAUGUCACAUCCACAUAACUUGAAGUUUAAACCUUUACUUCAAUUCAUAUAAAUCACAUUGUUACAACGGAAUUAAAAACAAAUUUUGUUCAGCAUCCAAAGCCUCACCCAAACAUCCAAACAAUGCUAGUUUCAACCAACAAUCAUUAUUAUUUAAACACACAUAACAUGAAAAACACAUAGAUAAAAUAGCACCAUAGAUAAAACAUCCUCGGUGUUACGUAUCAGAGUGACUCCACCAGAAGACCCGGCCGAUAGCAACAUAUUAUGCACCGUCAACUACUUAAGUACCUAAUAAUCUAUACUCCAAAGGAGUACAUAUACAACAAGCAAAAAAAGGGGGUGAGAAAUACAUUAAUAUAAUUAAUUGAUGCAUAACAUGCUAAGGAUAACAUUCAUGUGUAAUUGAUCGUGUGUGAUUCGCAAGUGCACGAAUCACGUCAAAGUAAUAUAAAAGAAUAUUGAUCCCACAAAGACCAAUCGUCAAUCUUUCGAUUACUAUCGUUAUGGUGUUUAUCUAAGACGGUAUAAAAGAGAUAUUGGAUUUGCAAAAUAAUGGUAAAUAAUAAAUGUAGGUAAAGACAGGUUGAAUGUAUCUCACGUCAGUUAAGUGAUGUUUCGAUUGUCUAAAUAGAACUACUUA